UACGGAAGGUGCGAGCGUUGUUCGGAAUUAUUGGGCGUAAAGAGCACGUAGGUGGGUGCGUAUGUCAGAUGUGAAAUCCCUGGGCUUAACCUGGGAAUUGCAUUUGAAACUGCGCGUCUUGAAUACUUGAGGGGUUGGGGAAAUUCCAGGUGUAGGAGUGAAAUCCGUAGAGAUCUGGAGGAAUACCGGAGGCGAAGGCGCCCAACUGGCAAUGUAUUGACACUGAGGUGCGAAAGUGCGGGGAGCAAACAGG
rnacentral:misc_RNA from 1 species